UCCGAGUUGACCCCGGCAGUCUCUUAUGAGUCCCCGGCAUAACCCGCUGGCAACAUAAGACAAGGGUUGCGCUCGUUGCGGGACUUAACCCAACAUCUCACGACACGAGCUGACGACAACCAUGCACCACCUGUGCACGGACCUUGCGGGGGAACCAUCUCUGGAACUUUCCCGUGCAUGUCAAGCCUUGGUAAGGUUCUUCGCGUUGCAUCGAAUUAAUCCGCAUGCUCCGCCGCUUGUGCGGGCCCCCGUCAAUUCCUUUGAGUUUUAGCCUUGCGGCCGUACUCCCCAGGCGGGGCGCUUAAUGCGUUAGCUGCGGCACGGAGUUCGUGGAAGGAACCCCACACCUAGCGCCCAACGUUUACGGCGUGGACUAC
rnacentral:misc_RNA from 1 species